GCGGGAGGGUGCGGGCGGCCAGCGGCCCGGGGACUCCGAGGCGGUGGGUGCGGGAGCAGAAGUGAGACCGGGAGGACAGGUGCGGGGGAGGUGACGCAAGGAAAGGUAAGAGGCUCAUGCAGAAGAAAAAGUGGAGGGAGCUCAGAGGCAGACACCCAGCACACCAGUCCUCACCCUUGCCACCAUAAGCCAAGACCCCUAGAGGCCCCGCCUGUAUGUCUAUGCUUUCUUGCCUCAGAAAUCCAGGAGCUAGGCUUCCGCGGCAGAGGACGCUCAGACAUCUGGAGCCAGAGCUUCCACCCUUCCGGACCUGGACGACAUCAUGUCCGUCACCAUGUCCACCCAAGCUGGCGGAAGAAAAACCGGAAUUGGGCCUGGGGCCCACCCCAGCUCCGCCGGGGAAGAGGGAAGGCAAAGGCGGUUAACCUACA